CAGCUUCUUCCACUGCUCCUCUGCUGCUCUGCUCCUGUGCCUGCUGCUCCAGGCUUUGCCACCACCCCACGAGAUGUGCUCCCGAGGGUCCUGCCACAGCCGCGAGACCUCCUGCCACGACUCGGCGCCCUCCUGCCACUACCGCGUCCAGAGGCAGCCUGUGCAGAAGUUCAGCUAUGUGACACCCUGCUGCCCCCCCGUGCAGCCCUGCUGCCCCCCCGUGCAGCACUACUGUCCCCCCGUGCAGCCCUGCUGCCCCCCCGUGCAGCGCUACUGUCCCCCCGUGCAGCCCUGCUGCCCCCCCCUGCAGCGCUACUGCCCCCAGUAUGCCCCCAAGGUCUGCAAGCUGCCACCCUCCUGCCCCAAGUACUAGGAGCAGGACUCGACCCCAGCCCCGGUCCCGGCAGCUCCUCCCUCCCAGGCUGCUCUCGCUGCCUGAAGCUUGAAGCUCUGCUCUCCUGGCCCGAGUUGGCUCUGCUGCACCCUUGCAGUGCCUCACCCGAGGGGAGAAUCUCCCUGCAAACACCCACCCUGCUCUCCCCCAAAGGGCUGGGGAUGGCUCCUGCUGGUGGUGGCUCCCCCGUGCUGUGUCGCCCCCCCUGACUAUGUAGAGACAAUAAACUUUCAGUCCCCAGAUGAGAA